GCUUUCCCUCUGAGAUUGAGAACUAGAUAAGGAUGCUUUCUAUGAACUGUCAAAGCAGAAAGAGAAGAAGAAGAGAAAAAUUGGAAAAAUAUUAGGAAUUACAAUGCAACAAUUAGGCUACUAAUUUUCUAAUUUCACCUAAUCAUUCAGAUAUAUGGAGAAUUAUGGUAAUAAAGUAGUAAAGCCAUGCACCACAUUAUAUCCAGAAUGGAGAACAAAGGAAGGAAUUCCAUGUGAUGGUAAUGAAGGGGAGGAAGUGGAAAUAAGGCGAUGAGAAGGCAGGAAACAAAAAAGACAAAGGAGACCACUGACCCUUUACUGUGAAAGCAAAUAAAAAGCAAAAUUGCACAGUUCAUAGGUGCUCCAAGCCCUCCAGAGAGAAGAUGCGUAAGGUUGCCAGUCAGCAGAUGUGGAAGCCCUGCAAGAUCUAUUUGAAGCAGCCAUCCUCUUUGAAAGAGCUGGUGGUUAAACAUUUACCAGAAUACAUUGAUUGAGAUUAAAGCCAAUUUCACGCUUUCACCA
rnacentral:lncRNA from 1 species